GACGAACGCUGGCGGCGUGCCUAAUACAUGCAAGUCGAGCGAAUCUCUGAAGGAGCUUGCUCCUGAUGAGGUUAGCGGCGGACGGGUGAGUAACACGUAGGCAACCUGCCUGCAAGCCUGGGAUACCAUCCGGAAACGGAUGCUAAGACCGGAUACGCAGCUUGGUCGCAUGACCGAGCUGGGAAAGACGGAGCAAUCUGUCGCUUGCGGAUGGGCCUGCGGCGCAUUAGCUAGUUGGUGAGGUAACGGCCCACCAAGGCGACGAUGCGUAGCCGACCUGAGAGGGUGAACGGCCACACUGGGACUGAGACACGGCCCAGACUCCUACGGGAGGCAGCAGUAGGGAAUCUUCCACAAUGGACGCAAGUCUGAUGGAGCAACGCCGCGUGAGUGAGGAAGGCCUUCGGGUCGUAAAGCUCUGUUGCCAGGGAAGAACGCCUAAGAGAGUAACUGCUCUUAGGGUGACGGUACCUGAGAAGAAAGCCCCGGCUAACUACGUGCCAGCCGCCGCUGUAA
rnacentral:rRNA from 1 species